UGCUAAUACCGGAUAACAACAGAUGAUGCCUAUCAACUGUUUAAAAGAUGGUUCUGCUAUCACUCUUGGAUGGACCUGCGGUGCAUUAGCUAGUUGGUAGGGUAACGGCCUACCAAGGCGAUGAUGCAUAGCCGAGUUGAGAGACUGAUCGGCCACAUUGGGACUGAGACACGGCCCAAACUCCUACGGGGGCAGCAGCG
rnacentral:rRNA from 1 species